rnacentral:lncRNA from 1 species
GCCUCCCCUUCAGGGGCCCACUGCCCUGCCUUCCAAGCCCUUCCCAUCACUGGGGCAAUGAACCUGGCCUCACCACACUGUGUCCUGCUGAGAUGUGUUGUCUGCUCAUUGCUCCUUUCAGAAAAGCCUGCGAGAGAGAGGAAAUGAAACAGAGAUGGAAGGAAAUGCAACCCUGGGACUUCCUGGAGCGCUCCUGAGACUGGAAGGGCCACCCGACCUGCACACCCACGUGGCAUUGGCCGGUCCAUGUUUAUCCAGCAACUCCCGGUUCCCAUCCGUAGAGUUUUUCAUCAGACCAAGAUGUACUUCAGGAAGCGUGGUAACCGCAGUCUCCUUGUGAGAGCCUUCUGAAACAGAAGAAUGACUUCUACUUCCAAUUCCCCAGAUUACAAGUGUGCUCAAGCC